UUCUUCAAACGUGAGGUGCUGUUCACCUA
rnacentral:sRNA from 1 species